CCCAACCGCGAGCCUACGCGCCAGCCAUCCAGCUCCCCGGCUCCCCCUGUUCCGGCGCUCCCCCCCCCAAUCCCGCCGGCGCCGCACCACCCUCCUCCCUCGCCGCACCCUACUCACGACGCCGCUCUCCUGCUCCCGGCGUGCCCGGCGCCGCACCCCACCGGUGCUGCCCCCUCCUUCCCUCCGAUGCGGUGGUGCGGAGGGCGGUUUCGUCGAGCUUUCGCAGCAUCCGCGCCGGCCGCCCACCUCCCCCAAUCCCGGCGCUCCCCUCCCCCUCCGACGCUUCCCCCACCCCCAAUCCCGCGACGAGAGGAUGCGCCUCCCGCUCUGGUGCCUCCCUGCGCUGCCCGCUCCCAGUGAUGUCGCUCCGCUCCUCCCAUCGCCGAUCCGGUGAAUGGCGCCUCCCGCGCGCCAGCUACUGGCCAGGCCCUGCGCGUCCUCACAUUCAAGGCUUCCCCGCGUCAGAUCGGGAUGUGGGUGGUGGUUUCUUCGAUUUCGUCGCCAGGAUGGAGUGCCCCUUCUUUCGAGUUUCGACCGGCUACCUCAUGCGGGAUGGGGGCGAGGAUGCAACGGCGAUGGAGACCUGCAGCAGCUCAGCUUCCUCACGGUGUCCUCAAGCUUGCAAUUUCUUCGAAGGUUUUAUCCUCGGUCUGCAUAGUGCCCUUACCUCUCCUCCACUCGAUUCCCACGGUUUUGCUUUAUUUCCCACGGUAUCCACGGAUUUGUUUAGGAAGUAAGCUCUUAGUAAUCCCCAUGACCAAAAGGGACAUGGAUAUCUUCUUGAUUCGUCAUCGUAUGAGCGUUCCACGGCCACCCACCCUUCUUCUGGUGAGGUCCUCCCAGAUUGAAGAUUGGUGCUUGAAGCAGUCCAUUCGCUUGUUUCUGCUGUCGGCAUCAAUGGUUGCUACAUGGCACAGCCGACGGCUUUGUUUGGUGGGCAAGCUGACUUCCUCCCUAUGAUGUUGAUGACACGGAUCAAGCCACGGCCAGUGCAUUAGUCCACUUAGAUGCCGAUGCCAUGUUGUUUUGUGCAAGAACAAGAACAGCAAUGUCGAACCCAUACUGGACAAAGCACGAGAGUCUUCUGGCAAUGGGAACUGCGACUAGGCUCCUCAGCACAGCUAGUAUCUUCUUGUAAUGAAUAGGCCAGAUGCCAGGUAGAAUUGCGCACAACACAUCGGGGAAGAAUUGCGCACAACACAAGCUAGGCAUGAACAAGCGUCCUCCUUGGAAGAGAAAUGUUUCUGAUGAAGGCGUUGGUGACUUGUUGAUGAUCUUCAAUUCUGUGUGUUGAAGAAAUUGCAUUCCUCCACAGGUUGUACCCUUUGUUGACACCAAGCUCUGUAGAGGUACUGGGAAGCUGCAUUUGUCCCCAAGUUUGAAUCCGCAACCAGUGAUGCUUUCUGCCCGAACAAGUCGAGGCCAACAGUGUGCUGCUCUCCACUCGCUGACUUGCCAGCACUCAGAUAGGGAAGAUAUGCAUGUAUUGAUAAAGUUUUGAGUUUGUUGUUUCUGAUUGCAAAUACAUUAAAAUGAUAUGCUGAAAGCAAUGGAUAAAAGGGCAGGUGCUGUGCUCCUCUCUGAAACGCAGGAUAGAAGUCUGUCGCAGCAUAUGACCUUAACUGAUGGUUGGUCUAGACAUACGUUUUCUCUCGUUUCUUCAUCCUGUAAUCUAACACUGUAUUCUACAACUGUUAACGACACUCCACACACCAUUGGAUUUCUGUCCA